UGCAUCUGUAGCCGACAAGGAUGAGAACCUCCGGGGGCAAGAGGUUCGACCCGAGCGCAGCGAGGGAACGUUGCUUCAGCAACGGCCCGUAGGGUGAGCCACAAACGUGGCGAAUCAUCCUCUAUCACCGACCA
rnacentral:sRNA from 1 species